UAUUACAGCAUCGUCUUUACUGUCAUCUGGCUGAUAACAAUACACCGAACGACUUAUCCUGAUAAUACAGCAGGCUGUGCGUAUACUCAGCCCGUGCUCCUGUCUCGCAUGAUCGACCAGCUCUCGUUUCUCGGCUGGCCU
rnacentral:sRNA from 1 species